rnacentral:tRNA from 1 species
AAGAAAGUGACAGAGGGGUGAUGUGUCUGACUUGAAAUCAGGUGACGGGGGUUCAAUUCCCUCCUUUCUCG